ACCUCACUGUUAGGCAGACAAGAAACUCAACUCCACCCCGGUGUCAGCAGGAAUUUACAGCUCUGGCAUUGCGGGGAUCCUUCCAAAGGAGCAGCGUGGCUCAGGCAGAGCCCGGCGCAGCGCUUGAACCCGGGGCUGCAGCACCGCGGAGAGCUCCGCACCCCUCCGGGGGCGGCCGGUGCUGCUGCGUCCCAAAUCACUGCUCCCAACCGAGGAAGGAGGGGAACCCACAGAAGGGGUGCUCCCAGAGGUGGUCAGAAGUGGGAGCUGAGCUGCAGAAACCCCCAGGAAGAUGACAGACCAGUACCUGUCCCCAUUGCAUUGGUCUGCUCCCAUAGGUGGUCAGAUGUAGGAGCUGAGCUGCAGAAGCCCCCAGGAAGGUGACAGAUCCAUACCUGUCCCCAUUGCAUUGCUCAGCACCAACUGCUCAGGCUGCAGGUAGCAAACAAGGGACAUUCCUGCCCAAUUCCUGCAGCAGAGUGUCUAUAGGGAGGAAGGGGUCAAGGUUGGCAAACACUGCUGUGAAAUGCUGGAGAUUGGAAGUUUCCUCCUGUUGGUUGUGGAGAAUUGUGCCAUCUCAGUGCUGAAUUCUGGUGCUCAAUUUCUUGGAGGGAGAAAUAGGAACAAAAUAACUUUUCUGAGCCAUCUGCAAAAGAAACACAUCUUCAAGUUGAAAUAUCGGGUGAAUGUACUGUUAUUGAAUUCUGGAAAUAUCCAUCAGCCAAAACUGUGCAGGCUGUUUGCAUGUCACAAUCUGAAUCAAUCCCUUCUUCACUCUCAGCAUGAACAUCCAAGGUUUCACUCAGACUCUUGACAAAUAUUUUUGGACAGAUACAAUGUGAAUACAAAGGAAUUUGACUAAACGACUGGUCUGCACAUGGGUUUAAUUGACAAUAGUAGAAGCAAGAACCACCAAAUGGUCCCAAAGGCAAACUCUGUGUGUGAGGAAUCAGCACCCAAUGGAUCACUGUUGUUUUGCCACAAUGCCCUUCAAGUUCAGAGGUGAGUGCUGGCUGUCCCAGCGAGCCCGGCUAUUUACAUCGCUUUGCUCUGAUGGUAGCGGCUGCGGGAGGAGAUGUCAGAGCCCAGUGUACCUCAGGGUGCUUGGGAGCUGCCUGCUUUAAGCACCAUUAACGUUGAUUAAACCUGCUUCAAGCAGCCGUGAGUGCAACGCCCCUCUAAAGCGAGACCCGAGUGAAGGAAACGAAGCCGUCAACGCAGGUUUUUCUUUUAUAAUGAGCGUUGCUGAAAUGUAUUGGUGGAAAUGCAGCCCUGUCUCUGCUUCCAUCCCGUUCUCCCCCUCUGCACAUCGGUGCCUUUCAGUGGGAAGCAGAUCUGAAGGCUCAGUGCUGCCAGAAGCUCCGUAUAUCCGAUCCCUGUGGCCAUGCUCGUGUCUGUCUGUCCCUGCAGUUUCCUCACCUCAUUCCCUUUCACUUUUGAUAUUCUCACCCCGUUUUGGGAGCGCAGCCCCUGGGUGGGACCCAGCGAUGGUUCAAGGGCUGCGUGAAAGCAAAUUGAGGUUGGAGGUGAAUUUUGGUAAAAUGAAGCCCUUGGAGCCUCCGAUAAAUGGUCCCUGCAAGGGAUCCAGGUGGGAUCUGAGUUUCCUCCGGCCACAGCAGCACCCCAAAUCCCCUCACUGCCACCGUAUUAACGGGAUGACAAUGCAGUAAAUCCUUUCGUUUGGAUGUUUUUGUUUCUUUAUGAGACUGAAGAGAGACAGCACCGAGGUUUUCUUCCCCUUCUCUGUGAAAAACAAACCAAAGCGAAAUGAAACAGAACACCUCGGUCCCAGCAUUUCUGCAGCACCGAUUUCCACCUAUUUUUCUUCAUCAGGCUGUGCCCCUCCUGUAGUCGAGCAGAGAGGUUUUCUUCCUUACAAAAGGAAUCGGGCAUACGGUCAAUGAUAGGAAAUGGAAAAAAGAAAGUGAAGGGGAAUGGAAUGGAAUGAAAUGGGAUGGAAUGGAAUGG